GAUGAACGCUGGCGGCGUGCCUAACACAUGCAAGUCGAGCGAUCUUCUUCGGAAAAGAGCGGCGGACGGGUGAGUAACGCGUGGGUAACCUGCCCUGUACACACGGAUAACAUACCGAAAGGUAUGCUAAUACGAGAUAAUAUGCUUUUAUCGCAUGGUAGAAGUAUCAAAGCUCCGGCGGUACAGGAUGGACCCGCGUCUGAUUAGCUAGUUGGUAAGGUAACGGCUUACCAAGGCGACGAUCAGUAGCCGACCUGAGAGGGUGAUCGGCCACAUUGGAACUGAGACACGGUCCAAACUCCUACGGGAGGCAGCAGUGGGGAAUAUUGCACAAUGGGCGAAAGCCUGAUGCAGCAACGCCGCGUGAGCGAUGAAGGCCUCGGGUCGUAAAGGACUCUGUCCUCAAGGAAGAUAAUGACGGUACUUGAGGAGGAAGCCCCGGCGUAACUACGUGCCAGCAGCCGCGGUAAU
rnacentral:rRNA from 1 species